rnacentral:rRNA from 1 species
UACAGAGGUCUCAAGCGUUGUUCGGAUUCAUUGGGCGUAAAGGGUGCGUAGGCGGCGCGGUAAGUCGGGUGUGAAAUCUUGGAGCUUAACUCCGAAACUGCAUUCGAUACUGCCGUGCUUGAGGACUGGAGAGGAGACUGGAAUUUACGGUGUAGCGGUGAAAUGCGUAGAUAUCGUAAGGAGGACCAGUGGCGAAGGCGGGGUCUCUGGACAGUUCCUGACGCUGGAGGCACGAAGGCCAGGGGAGCAAAACGGG